rnacentral:misc_RNA from 1 species
UUUUGUUAUAUCAAAUGAACUAACUAGGAAAUUUCUCUGAAAAUUAUUAGAAAAGACUGGUUGAAAAGUCUUCAGAGGCUGCCUGCUUUCACCCUUUCUUGAUGGUUCUAUUGUGCAUAUAGAAUUACAUCGAAUUUCAGCAGCUUAAAAAAAAAAAAAAAAAAAAAAAAAGGAGGGCCAAACUCUACGAUCUGGGUUAUCUCCAAACUUCUAACUGUUUGAGCGAAUGGCAGUAGUUGGAGAGACUUUUCUUUCUGCUGUUUUCCAGAUGGCGCUUGAUACUUUGGCUUCAACGAUCCUGAUGGAAUUCGGGUGCCGGUUUGAUAUUGAUAAAGAUCUCAAGAGACUGCGCAGAACCCUGUCAAAAGUCCAACGUGUGCUUAAUGAUGCUGAGGCAAAGCAGAUCAGUGAUCAGGAAGUCAAAUUUUGGCUUAAUGACCUCAAAAAGGUGUUCUUUGAUGCAGAUGACGUGAUAGAUGAAGUUGCAACAGAAGCUUUUCGCUUUAAUCAGCAGAAAAAGGUAACCAACUUGCCCCCUAUAUCCAAAGAUUCUAUUUUAGAACUUGGAAUAGCUCCUAAGAUAAAGGAAAUCAAUGAGAAGUUAGAUGAAAUUGCAAAAGAUGGGGCUGAUCUUGGUUUGAGGGAGGGAGUUGGGGUAGCUUGGACAGAAUCGAGGGACAGGGACAGGGAGAGACUGCAGACUAGCUCCUUGAUAGAUGAAUCUCGGGUUUUUGGUCGGGAGGAGGACACGAAAAAGAUUGUAAAGUUGUUAGUGUCUGAUGAGUUCCACGGAAAUGAUGUUGCUGUUCUUCCCAUUGUGGGGAUGGGAGGCCUGGGCAAGACAACACUUGCUCAGCUUGUAUUCAAUGAUCCCUUGAUUACUAAAGUUUUCGAGCUCAGAAAAUGGAUUUGCGUCUCAGACGACUUCAAUUUCAAUCCUCGAAGGCUUACGAAAUCAAUUCUGGAGUCGAUUGAUGGGAAAAGUCGCGAUCUGGUGGAUUUGGAUACCCUUCAAAACUGUCUUCGUGAUAAGUUGAAGGGGAAAAAGUUCUUGGUUGUGCUUGAUGAUGUGUGGACUGAGAAGGAGAGAGAAUGGGAAACUUUGCGCCUUCCUUUCAGAGCAGGAGAAUUGGGAAGUAAAAUCAUCGUAACUACCAGAAGUAAAAGAGUUGCAUCAAUCAUGGGCACACUUCCAAUUCACCAUUUAGAAGUUCUAUCGGCUGAUGAUUGCUGGUUGUUGUUCAAGCAAAGGGCAUUCAUAGAUGGGAAUGAGGCUGCACAUCCAAACUUAGUAUCAAUUGGUAAGGAAAUUGUAAAGAAAUGUCGAGGUUUGCCUUUAGCGGCAAAGACACUUGGAGGACUCCUGCGUGCAAAGACUGAAGUUACUGAAUGGGAGAAUAUUUUGAAUAGUGAUAUAUGGGAGUUGGAAUAUGAGGAAAAUGAAAUCUUUCCAGCUUUGAGGUUAAGCUACAAUCAUCUUCCAGCACAUCUUAAGCAGUGUUUCAUGUACUGCUCAAUAUUUCCAAAAGAUUACAACUUCGAUAAAGAAAAUUUAGUCUUGUUGUGGAUGGCAGAGGGAUUUGUUCAUUGUAUGGGAAAGAGGCGCUUGGAAGAUGUUGCAUCUGACUAUUUUGACGAUUUAUUGUUGAGGUCUUUGUUUCAACAAUCCAAAACCGAUUCCUCAAAGUUUGUUAUGCAUGACUUGAUUCAUGACCUGGCGCAAUCCGUGGCUGGGGAAAUGUGCUUCAGAUUGGAGCCAGAGAAACUUGAGAAUAUCCCAGAGAUGGUUUGGCAUUCAUCUGUGCUAGUUGACACAUUUAAGUCGGUUACAUUUGAGGCCUUGUACACAAAAAAAAGCUUGCGGACAAUGCUUCUACUGUGCAAUAAAAGUUCACCAAGAGAGAACUCUAAUGUGACGGUCCCCC